rnacentral:rRNA from 1 species
GAUGAACGCUGGCGGCGUGCCUAAUACAUGCAAGUCGAGCGAACUGAUUAGAAGCUUGCUUCUAUGACGUUAGCGGCGGACGGGUGAGUAACACGUGGGCAACCUGCCUGUAAGACUGGGAUAACUUCGGGAAACCGAAGCUAAUACCGGAUACGCUCUUCUCCUUCAUGGGCGCUGAUUGAAAGAUGGUUUCGGCUAUCACUUACAGCAGGGUCCGCGGUGCAUUAGCUAGUUGGUGAGGUAACGGCUCACCAAGACAACGAUGCAUAGCCGACCUGAGAGGGUGAUAGGCCACACUGGGACUGAGACACAGCCCAGACUCCUACGGGAGGCAGCAGUAGGGAAUCUUCCGCAAUGGACGAAAGUCUGACGGAGCAACGCCGCGUGAGUGAUGAAGGCUUUCGGGUCGUAAAACUCUGUUGUUAGGGAAGAACAAGUACAAGAGUAACUGCUUGUACCUUGACGGUACCUAACCAGAAAGCCACGGCUAACUACGUGCCAGCAGCCGCAGUAACAC